UGGGGUUGUGGCUCAGUGGUAGAGCACAGGCCUUGCAUGUGUGAGGCCCUGGGUUCGAUUCACAGCACCCCAU